GACGAACGCUGGCGGCGUGCUUAACACAUGCAAGUCGAACGGUGAAGCGCCUUCCUUUUUGGUGGGUGUGGAUGAGUGGCGAACGGGUGAGUAACACGUGAGUAACCUGCCCCCUUCUUCUGGAUAACCGCAUGAAAGUGUGGCUAAUACGGGAUAUUCUGGGUCUGUCGCAUGAUGGGUCUGGGAAAGAUAUUGUUUCGGUGGGGGAUGGGCUCGCGGCCUAUCAGCUUGUUGGUGGGGUGAUGGCCUACCAAGGCGGUGACGGGUAGCCGGCCUGAGAGGGUGGACGGUCACACUGGGAAUGAGACGCGGCCAAGACUCCUACGGGAGGCAGCAGUGGGGAAUAGUGCACAAUGGGCGCAAGCCUGAUGCAGCGACGCCGCGUGAGGGAUGGAGGCCUUCGGGUUGUGAACCUCUUUCGCCAGUGAAGCAGGCCUGCCUCGUUUGUGGGUGGGUUGACGGUAGCUGGAUAAGAAGCGCCGGCUAACUACGUG
rnacentral:rRNA from 1 species